GUGCUCACUUCAGCAGCACAUAUACUAAAAUUGGAAUGCUACAGAGAAGAUUAACAUAGCCUUGUACAAGGAUGACACGAAAACUCAUGAAGGAUUCCAUGUUUUU
ensembl:snRNA U6 U6 spliceosomal RNA